UACCAAAAAACUAUAUCUUAAAUAAUCAAUACGAUUCAUCUACGGCUCUAGAUAUCGUGAUUGUUUUGGUGAACGUAGCUAUUAUUUUAAACUCUACUUCGACAACGAUAACAACGAAACAUGAACGUUCAUGUGAAUAAGUGAUGGUAUCUGAAAAGGUAAAUGAAGGUUUAAACGAUUUACUUCAAUUUAAUAAAUAAUCGUAAAACUGUUCUCGAACCUUAACGCAUAACGUUCAUGUCAUCUGUCAAAAUCACGUCAAAAUUGAUCGAAACGUGGGCCAGAGAUGCCAAAUGGUUUGGAAAAAAAACUUAGCACUUAGCAUUUGUGGAAAUGUAUUUAUUUAUUGAUUUAUGUAUUUUAUUCAUUUUAUUUAUACAAAAAAAAAAACAUAAAAUCAAUACAUUUUUAAUAUUAUUACAAAGGUUCCAAGGGCUUGUGAUAUAGCUGGCAAGUCUGUUGUCUGCUGAGCCGAUGUCCGCGAGUUCGAGCCCAAGAGUAAACAUCGAACUAAGUUGUACCGAAUAAGUUUUUCAAUAACGAUCCGCCAACUGCAACUUUGAUAAAGUCGCGAAUGCCAUAAAGAUGGUAAAACGACUAUAAUCGAAACAAAAAAAAACAAUGGUUCCAUCGUUCAAGUAGUUGUUAUUUAAUCUGUUGUUAUUUAAAAAUCUAGAUUUUUGAUAAAUCAUCAUUUUUAGGGACAAAAAAUGCUACAAUCUAUUAUCUAAUGAUGUUUCAAAAAGUUAUAAUUAUUAUAAAAAGCUCAUCAUAGGAAAAAUCUAGAUUUUUAAUAUAUCAUUAAUUUUUAUGGACGAAAAAUUAUAGUUGAUGAUGGUGAAAUGUUAGAUUGAAAAUCUAGUUUUAAGUUUAUGAAAUACCAACAAAAUAUUUUGAAAUUCUUUUCUAAAUUUUACUCAUGCUGUUGAACCUUGAGUUGAGUUUAACGUCGCAUCCAAUAAUAAUUUCCAAUCCAAUUUUUUUUAAUUCAUUUAUUAUGCUACAUUCACUAAUAUUGUACAUAUUAUAACCCUUUUACCGAACAAAUACAUAUCAGUUUUAAUCUAUUUGUGCAUUUUAAUUAAUCUCCAAAAACGCUUUUUUAUUUUCACAUUUUUAUUCUAUAUUGGAACAAUUUUGAAAAACAGUCUAGUUGACAUCACUGCCUACAACACAAAAAAAACGAAAAAAACAAGUCUUCGUUUUUCGCGUUCCAAAGUCAAGCCCCCGUACUGGUACCAGCACCAAUAAGUUUCCUCCGAUUGUGGAUUUUCGGACGGAAAUCAGCAGCCACAAACCGGAUUUCGAGGACAAAAAGGAACUUUUUCCAGCGAUGUUCGCAACAGAAAAAUUUUCGCUGGAAGAGCAAUGCGUCACGCCGAAAAAGGUCAAGAUUCUGGACCCAGCAGCUGCGUCAACGUUCCGCCCGUAUGUCGGAAAUCAGACCUGGUGGAGGAGCUGAUAAAAAUAAAUUUAAUCCUCCAGUCGGAAGGAUAUGGAGUGGUCCUAAAUUAGCACUCGCCGUUCCAGGAGGAUCCCUUUUCCGUUGGAUCACAGAUCCGGUGUUGGUUGCAAGGUAAAGUUGUGGAAAUCAUGAUUAUUGUAAGUGCGUUAUUCUAUCAUAAAUGUGAAUCAAAUGUUUAAUAAAUACCUAUAAAUUUUACAAAAUCUGAAA